GGUUGUGGCUCAGCGGUAGAUUGCUCGCCUAGCAUGUGCAAGGUCCUGGGUUCGAUUCUCUGCACCA
rnacentral:tRNA from 1 species